AGGACGAACGCUGGCGGCGUGCUUAACACAUGCAAGUCGAGCGAGAAAGCUCCUUCGGGAGUGAGUACAGCGGCGAACGGGUGAGUAACACGUGGGCAACCUGCCCUAGGGAGCGGGACAACUCGGGGAAACCCGAGCUAAUACCGCAUGAAUCGGCCUUGCAUAAGUAAGGCCGGGAAAAGGUAGCUUAGGCCUCCGCCCUAGGAUGGGCCCGCGGCCGAUUAGCUAGUUGGUGUGGUAACGGCGCACCAAGGCGACGAUCGGUAGCUGGUCUGAGAGGACGAUCAGCCACACUGGGACUGAGACACGGCCCAGACUCCUACGGGAGGCAGCAGUGGGGAAUCUUGCGCAAUGGGCGAAAGCCUGACGCAGCAACGCCGCGUGGGGGAAGAAGGCCUUCGGGUUGUAAACCUCUUUCGGGAGGGACGAAGCUUCCAGGGUUAAUAGCCCAUGGGGUGACGGUACCUUCAGAAGAAGCCCCGGCUAACUACGUGCCAGCAGCCGCGGUAAUACGUAGGGGGCAAGCGUUGUCCGGAAUUAUUGGGCGUAAAGCGCGUGUAGGCGGCUUGGUAAGUCUGGUGUGAAACCUUGGGGCUUAACCCCAAGCCUGCACUGGAUACUGCCUCGCUAGAGUCCGGGAGGGGAGAGCGGAAUUCCCAGUGUAGCGGUGAAAUGCGCAGAUAUUGGGAAGAACACCAGUGGCGAAAGCGGCUCUCUGGAACGGUACUGACGCUGAGACGCGAAAGCGUGGGGAGCGAACAGGAUUAGAUACCCUGGUAGUCCACGCCGUAAGCGAUGGAUGCUAGCCGUUGGCGGGUUUACCCGUCAGUGGCGCAGCUAACGCUCUAAGCAUCCCGCCUGGGG
rnacentral:rRNA from 1 species